CCAAACUAGCAUAAUGCAGUUCCCUACAAUGAUAGAAUUAGAGUUUAUAUCUCAUGCACUAUAUUAUGUGAACAUACAGAAUCUUAGGAAACUUAGCAAACAAAAUCUAAAAAUUUAUGUUACCAGUAAAACAACUCUGAAUAGUUAAUUUACAAGUCCAAAGCAAAAUUGUCUAGAAAACGGAACCAAGCUUCAGGGGAAAACGAAAUUAAGAUCGUCACAACUCGAUUUGAUCCCAUAAAGGAAGCUAACGAAGAUUCAGAGAAGCUAGCUACACUCGAAUUCUGUGACUACUGAAACUAAUAACCGAUCCCGAAACGAUUCGAGAG